rnacentral:lncRNA from 1 species
GGAAGUCUAAAACAUAUCUCUACCCAAAAUCAAGUGUCACUACUCAUGAACUGCUAAGAACUUACUAAACACAACCGUUCGGAAGAAAUAUAAAACUGCUUGUCUCGAAUACAUGAGAUAACAGAAUGAAUAAAAAGAUAUAGGAGACGCCGGGUCCAGCGGACGCCUGCAAGGCUACCUCGAUUUCUCGCAGAGCGGGAUUCUAACACUCGCACCACUGCUGCUACUGCUUCCCGAAACCUAUAUCUGCGCAAAAGACCGCUGAGUGUAGAAUCAGAACAUCCGACCCCAUGUCCUGGUAUUUUCCUGGACUAAGCUCGGCAAAGUAGUGACGAGGCUAGACAGGACCUACCAUAAUUAACAUGUGCAAAUAUAAUAUACAAGUGCAAAAAAAGCAAUACCAAAAUAAUACAAAGUAAAGCUAGGGGGAUACAUGCUAUUGGGGAGUACUAGAUGAAAAAUGGAACAUCGGAAACAAAUAGCAGAUCUACUCCGGGUUUCAUGAUACAUAUAUUUAUAGUGGACGGCGCGCCACACGAUCCCAUAAUAUAGAAUAUAAGUGGACGGCGCGCCACACGAUCCCGUAGUGUAGUAUAUAUGUAGACGGCGCCAUACGAUCCCAUUUCAUAUAUUACGUGGUAGGCGUACCACUCGCUCCCUUUUCAUAUAUUACGUGGUAGGAGUACCACUAGCUCCCUUUUUACCAUGCACAAUGUCACCGGCAUCUAAGGCCAAUAACAAUAAUCAAUAUAAGGCGUGGUACGCCGACCACAACUUAUAUUGAUCUUGUUAUCGACCUUUGAUGCCGGUGACAUAUUAAAAAGGGAGCGAGUGGUACGCCGACCACAACUUAUAUUGAUUAUUGUUAUUGGCCUUAGAUGCAGGUGACAUUGUACAUGGUAAAAAGGGAGCGAAUGGUAUUCCUACCACGUAAUAAAAGACACCACACGAUCCCGUUUCAUAUAUUACGUGGUAGGCGUACCACUCGCUCCCAUUUUACCGUGCACAAUGUCAUCGGCAUCUAAGGCCAAUAACAAUAAUCAAUAUAAGUUGUGUUCCGCAUACCACUCGCUCCCUUUUCAAUAUGUCACCAGCAUCAAAGGCUAAUGACAAUAAUCAAUAUAAGUUGUGGUAGGCGUUCUACUCGCUCCUAUUUUACAGUGGACAAUGUCACCAGCAUCUAAUGCAAAUAACAAUAAUCAAUAUAAGUUGUGGUAGGCAUACAACUCAAUCCCAAUCAUAAUAUCUCGUGGUCGGCGUGCCACACAAUCCCAAUCAUAAUAUAUCGUGGUCGGUGUGCCACACGAUCACAAUCAUAAUAUUUCGUGGUCAGUGUGCCACACGAUCCCAAUCAUAAUAUCUCGUGGUCGGCAUGCCACACGAUCCGUUAUCUUUCAACACAAAACACAAAGUAAUCACAUCAAGUGAGGAAAAUAAAUUAUAAUAAACUAUCUAGGCAAGGGGCAUCCAACUAUAACAAAACUCAUUCGAUUCCUACUUGACACGAGAAAAUCCAUACUUAGUCUAAGUGAUUACUGGCACAAUAUGAAAGAUUUCCAACCAAUUCCUCAUAAACAACAAAUAAGAAUUCGAUAAAUUAACAAUUUAAGACUCAAGAUCAUACUUGACACUAGUGUAUAGAUACUCGUCACCAUACCUAUAUACCGUGUUUGAUCAUUUAGCAAAUAGAAAUCAAAACACUCUAAUCAUAUUCCUUCAAGCCAAACUUAGAUAAAACACUUACCUCGAAAACUCCAAACUGUAGUCACUCCUCUCGAAUAGCUUUACCCCUCGAAUUCGCCAUAAAACCGCUAGAAUCUAAUCACAAAUUACUCAAAUGUAUGAACAAAUGCUAGUUAAAUCAAUUUGAAUGUAUAAGAAUGAAUUUCCCAAAGUUUUGCCCAAAAAUUCCUAAAAUGCCCCGGGCCCACGUGGUCAAAACCCGAUGUUCGAACCAAAAUUUUACCCAUUCCCCCAUGAGUUCAUAUCUAUGUUUUUUUUAAAUCGAACGUCAAAUUGAGGUACAAAUCCCCAAUUUAGUGAAAACCUAUGUUCUAUCCAAAAUCUUCAUUUUUACCCAUGGAAAACCUUGAUUUUAAGAUGAAAACAUGAUAAAAGAUGUCAAAUAUUGAAGAAAUUGAGUAAAAGUUGACUUACAAAUGAUUUGGGAAGGAAGCAGUUCGUGAGAAAUCUCCAAUGGGUGUUUGGGUUUUGAAAGUAUGAAAAAUGAGCUUUAAAAUCGUCUAAGCAUGAAAUAUGCAGGUGUAGGUAUCGCAAUUGCAAAACUGGGUUCGCAAUGACUUGGGAAUUGCGAGAUAAUUGUUCAUAUUUGCGAACUCAGGGAAGAAAUGCGGAUUUCGCAUUUGCAAAGAGGGUGUUCGCAUUUGCAAACUCAGUGCCUAAGGUUGGGGGAUCGCAUUUGCGAUGAAGUCUUUGCAUUUGCGAAGACUGGGCUUAAGGGGGGCAUCGCAAUUGCGAUGUUUUUCGUCACAUUUUCGAUGUUAUUAGCCCAAGGGAUAUUUCGCAUUUGCGAAGCCUGCAGAGCUGAAGCACACCGGGUUUUUCAACAAUGAUAAAUGCAAUUCGAUAACUAUCCAAAACUUUCCCAAGCCCUCUAGGCUCCAAACCAAUUAUACACACAACUUCAAAGACAUCCUAAGGACUUACUCGCACUAUCAAAUAGCCAAAAUAACAACAUGAACAUAGAAUCGGACCUCAAACUCAUGAUUUUUCUUCUAUGUUUCAUAAACUUUCAAACUUGGAACUCGUAGUCCGAAACACGUCAUACAAUGUCCGCUUUCAACCAAACUUCACAGAACGCACUUAACACUUAUUUAAGACCUGUAUCGUCCAUCGAAACCAAUAUACGAGCCCGAUACCAAUAUUUUCUAACUCAUUUUGUUUCAAUUUUUCAUAUCAUUUUCAGAUAAACAAUUUCUUUCUAAAAUUCCGUACUCGGGCUUAGGACCUCAGAUUUCGAUUCCGAGAAAACAGCCGAGCUCCAUAUUUUCCUACGGACCUUCUAGGACCGUCACAUCUCGGGUUUGAGUCCGUUUACCCAAAAUGCUGACCGAAGUCAACUAUAUCAAUAUUGAUAUCAAAAUUCUUCAAAGUUUUCACAAAAUUCACAUAUUUUAACAUAAAACUUUUCUGGCUUUGCAUCCAGACUGCACACGCAAAUCAAGGCGACUAAGAGCGAGGUUUUCAAGGCCUCGAAAACACAGAAAAAGAGGGAAUUAUAGUGAUGACCUUUUGGGUUGUCACAUCCUCCACCUCUAAAACAAUUAUUCGUUCUCGAACGCACAAAAGAAAGAAGUACAGGAGUCGGGGAAUAGAUGGGGAUAACUGCUCCGCAUAUCAAACUCGGACUCCCAGGUCGAUGCCUCGGGAGUCUAACCCCUCCACUGAAGACGCACUGAAGGGAAAACCCUUCGUCCUCAACCGUCGAACCUGCUGGUCUAAAAUAGCCACUGACUCCUCCUCAUAUGACAGAUCCUUUUCCAAUUGGACAAUGCUGAAAUAUAAUACGUGGGUUGAAUCGCCGUGAUACCUCCGAAGCAUGGAUACAUGAAACACUAGAUGCACCGCGGACAAGCUAGGCGGCAGGGCAAGUAUAUAAGCCACCUCUCGCACGCAAUAAAGAAUCUAAAAUGGAAGGAUAAACUUAGGGCUAAAAUUACCCUUCUUCCUGAAUCCCAUCACGCCCUUCAUAGGCGAUACCCCGAGCAAUACUCGAUCACCAACCAUGAAAGCAACAUCUCUGACCUUGCGGUCUGCAUAACCCUUCUGCCUGGACUGAGCUGUAAAAAGUUUAUCCUGAAUAACCCUGACCUUCUCCAAGGCCUCCUGCACCAAAUCGGUACCCAACAACCGAGCCUCUCACGUCCCAAACCAUCCGACUGGAGACCGACACCGUCUACCAUGCAACGCCUCAUACGGAGCCAUAUGAAUGCUGGACUGGUAGGUGUUGAUGUAGGAAAAUUCUGCUAACGCCAAAAACUUGUCCUACGAGCCUCUAAAAUCGUUAAUACUGGUUCAGAGCAUAUUCUCAAGAAUCUGAAUAGUCCUCUCGGGAUGACCGUCCAUCUGGGAUGAAAUGCCAUACUCAACUUAACAUGGGUGCGCAACUCCAAUGGUACCGCUCUUUGGAAAUGCGAGGUAUAUUUGCGUACCGCGGUCCAAAAUGAUAGAUAUAGGCACCCCAUAAAAGAGAACAAUCCCCCUGAUAUAAAUCUCGGCUAAGCUUCGGACGAAUAGGUGGUGGCAACCGGAACAAAAUUUGCUGACUUGGUCAGCCUAUCCACAAUAACCCAAACCGCAUCAAAUUUCUUCCGAUUCAUCAGAAGUGCUUUAACAUAAUCCAUAGUAAUCCUCUCACACUUCCACUCAGGAAGCUCAAUCAUCUGAAAUAACCCAUCGGGCCUCUAAUGCUCGUACUUAACCUGCUGACAGUUCAAAUACCGAGCCAUGUAUGCAACGAUGUCUUUCUUCAUUCUGCGGCACUAAUAGUGCUGCCUCAAAUCCUGAUACAUCUUUGCGGUGCCCAGAUGAAUAGAAUACAAAGAACUAUGGGCCUCUGCUAAGAUCAAAUCCAGAAUACCAUCAACACUGGGCACACAAACCCGCCCUUGUAAUCUCAAUACACCAUCAUCUCCCAAGGUCAUCUUCUUGGAACCUCCACGUUGCAUCGUGUCUCUCAGGUCACAUAAAUAGAGAUUAUCAAACUGUCGCUCACUGAUACGCUCCAUCAACGACGAAUGAGCAACUGUGCAAGCUAACACCCUACAAGGCUCAGAAAUAUCGAACCUCACAAAUCGAUUGGCUAAGGCCUAAACAUCCAAAGCAAGCGGUCUCUUUCUGACUGGAAUAUAGGCAAGACUACCCAUGCUGGUGGACUUCCUACUCAAUGCAUCAGCCACCCCAUUGCCCUUCCCCGGUUGGUACAAGAUAGAAACAUCAUAGUGUUUCAACAACUCCAACCACCUCCUCUUCCUCAAAUUCAACUCCUUCUAUUUGAACAAGUACUGAAAGCUCUUCUGAUUCGCGUACACCGCACACGUCACACCAUAUAAAUAAUACCUCCAGAUUUUCAGGGCGUAAACAAUGGCUGCCAAUACUUGGUCAUGAACUGGAUAAUUCUUCUCGUUGAUCUUCAGCUUCCUUGAAGCAUAUGCUAUGACACUGUCAUUCUACAUCAAUACUGCACAAGCCCAAUACAGGACGCAUCACAAUUGACACAAUAAGGCCCUGUUCCCAUGGGCAAAACCAAUACCGAUGCCGUAGUUAGAGCUGUCUUGAGCUUCCGGAAGCUCUUUUCGCACUCAUCUGACCACCUAAUCUGGGCACCCUUCUGGUUAAUCUAGUCAUCGGGGCUGCAAUGGAUGAAAAUCCCUCCACGAACUAUCGCUAGUACCCUGCAAACUCCAAGAAACUCCAGAUCUUUGUAGCUGAUGCUGGUCGAGGCCAGCUCUUGACCGCCUCAAUCAUCUUCUGGUCCACCUGAGCACCCUAUACUGAAACCAACGUGACUCGGGAAUGCAUCAGACCUCAACCCUAAACACGCACUUUGAGAACUUAACAUAUAACUGACUAUCCAUUAGAGUCUGAAGAUCCACUUUGAGGUGUUGCUCAUGCUCCUCCUGACUGCGGGAGUAUAUCAGAAAAUCAUCGAAGAAUAAAAUCACGAACAAAUCCAAAUAUGGCCUGAACACUCGGUUCAUUAGAUCCACGAAAGCCGCUGGAGCAUUUGUAAACCCAAAUGACAUCACCAAGAACUCAUAAUGCCCGAACCGAGUGCAAAAAACUAUCUUAAGGGCACCGGAUGCCCUAAUCCUCAACUGAUGGUAACCAGAUUUCAAACCUUGAAAACACAUUGGCGCUCUGAAGCAGAUCGAACCAUAUCCUAAAUCCUUGGCAGUGGAUACUUGUUCUCAAUCAUAACUUGUUCAAUUGCUGGUAAUCAAUGCAUAUCCUCAUCGAAUCGUCCUCUUUCUUCAAAAUAACACUGGUGCGCCCCAAGGCGAAAUACUAGGCCUAAUGAAUCCCUUAUCAAGUAAGUCCUGAAGCUAAUCCUUUAACUCUUUCAACUCCGAUGGGGCCAUGCGAUACGGUGGAAUAGAAAUAGGCUGAGUGCCCAGCAGAAGAUCAAUACAAAAAUCGAUAUCCCUAUCAGGAGGCAUGUCUGGCAGGCUUGUAGGGAAAACUUCGAGGAAACUCUGGAACAAUUGGAACAGAACCACUGGAAGGAGCCUCUGUGUUGUAGUCGCGAGCAUACGCCAAAUGAGCUAAACACCCAACCAUGCGUCGAUCCUUGGCAUACGAUAUCACACUGGGGUCGAAUGAUCAAUAGUCCCUCUUCCCUCUAAAUAGGGCAAACCUAGCAAAGCCAAGGUCACAGUCUUGGUGUGACAAUCAAAAAUAACAUGGCACGGGGACAACCAAUCCAUCCCCAAUAUAACGUCGAAGUCCACCAUAUCUAAGAGCAAUAAGUCGACACGGGUUUCAAGACCCUCAAAUACUACCACACAUGAAUGAUGCACUCGGUUGACCAUUAUAGAAUCACCCACCGAUGCAGGCACAUAUACAAGAACACCCAAGGCCUCACUAGGCAUAACCAAAUAGGGUGCAAACUAGGACGACACAUAUGAAUACGUAGAUCCAUGGUCGAAUAGCACUGAAACAUCUCAAAUAAAACUUAGAAUGGUAAAUGUGAUGUCUGCAUCUGAAGACUCAACCUCCAAACUAGCUACUGGCUGACCCCUACCUCUAGCGGUCUAAACUCCACCUUUUAGACCUCUACCCCCGCUGCAAGCUGGUUGGGUAGGCUGUGGGGCAACUGGUGCCUGAACCAUAGGACGAAGAUCCUGCUGCUGAGAACCACCUGAAACAGCAUGGAAAAUCUCGACUGCUGCGGUUGAGCACCCCUCAACCUCGGGCAAUGUCUCUUGAUGUGACCAAAUUGUCCACACUCAUAACAUCUACACAAACGCUGCAAAUAAGGAAACUGCGGCUGGCCCUAUCGACCUGAAUGAUCGCCUAAAGUACCAUGAGUGACAUGAGAAGCUGACUGAAAGGGCCUGGAAGGACUGCCUCUAUCAUAAGAACCCAUACGUCCAGACGAGGUACCGCAGAAUCUCCUUGCAUGACGAGGCCUCUUAUCUGAUCCUUGACUUCCUCCACGUGGUUGUACCGUCUCAACUCUACGGCCCACAUCGACCACCUCCUGAAUAAUGAUCCCACUCCCUGCUGACCUGUCACCACUAGCUAAAGCACUGGAAACAAACCCGCUCUUAUGACGCUCUCCACAGAGCCCAAUUAUCUGACCAAAACGUCCUGAACAUCUGGAGAGGCUAUGAACCCUUCCGGGACCUCAGCUGGGCCCACCGGAGCUGCUCGGCCUGGAACCUCUUCCUCAAACUCAACCUUGGGCUCCACCUCUAGGGCUGCUGCUUGGGGCUGGGACUGCUGAGCGGUAGAUGAAGAAGCGCAUGUUCUCACAAUCGAUGAUAGAAUAGAGUAGAAAUUCAAUCGGUGUUUGAGAAACGGAACACACGACAAGAAAGAACAAAUGUGAAGUUUUUCCUAACUCAGUAGCCUUUGGGGUAUAAAUACAGACGUCUCUGUACCGAUCCCUCAAACUCUUCCAGUUUGUCCGUGAGUUGUGAGACUUAUAUAACCUAGAGAUCCAAUACCAACUUUCCACGACCUGAAUUUCCCACCAUUGGAAGUCGUGAUGACGCCUACUAACAAAGCUAGACCAGCCAAGCUUUGAACAUUCUCCGAUAAAUCUCAACAAUAUACUAUGUGGAAGACAACUAAAUAAAAGUGGAAGACAUUAUGUUUAAUAAAAUGAAAUCAUAAAUGCCGAAGUUUAAAACAUAUCUACCAAAAAUCUGGUGUCACUACUCACGAACUGCUAAGAAUUUACUGAACACAACUGUUCGAAAGAAAUAUAAAAUUGUUUGUCUCGAAUACAUGAGAUAACGGACUGAACAAAAAGAUAGAGGAGACAUCGGGUCGCGCAGACGCCUGCAAGGCUACCUCGAUGUCUCGCUAAGCGGAAUGCAUACGCUCGCACUACUGUUGCUGUCACACCCCUUUUUUACACAAACUCUACUAAACCCUCUUAAAUAAAACAAAAAGAUUUAGUAAGGCUUGAAAAGGAUUUUCAAUUUUGAAAGUGACAAAAAUUCGUUUAAAAGGAAAUAACCAGAGUCGCCACCUGGUAUUAGAUAUCGGUGUGGCAGGUCACCGUUUUUGUUUUUAGAAAAUAUUUUCCUUUUAAAACACUUGGACUCGGGUAAGGGGGUUCAUUUGACUCGGGAGAAGGUAUUGGGCACUCCCCAAGUCCCGUGAAGGUCACGGUUGCGUAAUCGAUCUAGUUGACUUUUAAAAUAUUCAAAUUGAGGUUAAACACACAGAAAUAAUAUAAACACACAAAAGGAUUGAGGUCAUCCACGUCUGUAGAAAAGGAAAAGAAAAGAAAAUCCUAAGCUAAUCUAUACUACGACUUCUCCACCAUGCUCGUCAAGGCCUCCAAAAUAUUUACAUAAUUCUUCUGGGCAUACUCCGGAUAAUUGUAUAUACAAAUUCUUCGGGGAAUUCCCGUGAUAAAUUUAACUAUGGGAGACGACCUUUAACCUCGAAACUAAAAUACGAACAUCCUAAGGAUUUGCCUACCCAAAUGAGUCGGCCUAAAUAUGCUACUAGCAAUUUUAAUCAAAUAGAAUAAAGCAUUAAAACAUUUUCCGUUCAAUUUCCACCCAAGCUCCAUGGACAAAUCCUUUUCAAUUUCAUUUGCUUUCGGAACAUGCACCUAAAAUGCGUACAUCAACAGCAAGUGAAUUGUGCAAAUUGUCAUACUACUAAACAUUCAAGAACUUCUCCGUUAAAUCAAAUAAAUAAAUUUUAUUUGAAAAUCAGACCAUUUCAAUUUAAGACAUCACAAAUAAACAUGAAUUCACACAAUUCUAUUAUCCAAAUAAUCAUAUAGGACAAAAUCAAUAAACAAAGGAUGAGAUAGUAACUGACCUUAAAGCAAAGUAAAUUUGAAUCGCAAAAUGCUAAACAUCAGGAACCUUAGACUAGGAUUGAAGCGCAAUCUGAAACCUCGACCAAAACCCGGACAGCAACCUCGAACGAACUCGGCUCAAUCAAAUGAACUCCAUUUCAGGCAAAAUUUCAUGAAGAAGGAACGGAAUCCUUUUUUCUCUAAUUUUAAUUAGAUUAAUGAACUAUAAAGCAAUCUGAAAAGGAAAAAAAAAAGUCGAAUCAAGAGAAGAAAAAGCGGUCGGCGCUGGUUCUCUCUCCGGUGAAUUUUAGGUUGGAAGUUGGUGGGUUUCUUGCUGGUGGUGGCAGGCGGGUUGAAAAUGGGGUGGCGGUGCUCGGUGGUGCAGGUUAACGGUUGGAAGGGCAUUAGCUCAUGGAAUUUUGGGUUGUUUUACUCUAUUUCAAACAAUAGAGUUUCAAUCAUUUUUGCUCGUGUUGGUGCCCUAAGAAAUUCUUGGAUUUCGUGCAAUAUGAGAUUGAAUGCCAUAACUCUUACUUGUAUUUUACUUUUUAUGGUCGAGUUGGAGUAAGGAGAUGGAGAGUUGCGGCUGCCUUAGAGGUAUAUAGUAGAGCGACAACUGGUUCGCUGCUUGGAGUGACGAUGGCGAAGGGAUGGUCGAAGAUGGAAGAUGAAGAAGCGGCUCGUUGUGUCUGCUCAUUGCUGCCGCUGUUGUUCUUUCAAAGUCAGAGCUGUCGAGGAGUCGGCGGCUAUGGAGGAAACAAGCUGGUUUUCGCGAGUCAGGUGGGGUGAAGUUGCCGGCUAUGGAGGUCAGCGGCGAAUCAGGCGUGGAGGACUGAUUUUGGGCGUGAGGGCUGGAGUCAAGAGAGGUCGUUUGGUGUGGCGGCUACUAGUGUCUCGUAGGGGUUUUUUUGUCUUGUGUCUUCAAG